GACCCAGCUGGCGUCCCAAGAUGGCGGCGGCGGUAGCGCCCGGGAGGCCAAGGCGGUGUCCCGGCUGUUGAGGUGACUCCGCCGGACAAGUGACGGGGUCGGCCGGACCGGAGGGCGGCGGCGGACGCACGGCCGCCCGGAGUGCUCGGCCGGGACUUGGCGGUGAGGCGGCGGCGCCGGGGGAUGCUGGUGCUGGGCCGGGCCUCUCCCUCCUCAACUUAGGGCGGCGGCGGGCCCGCACCCCUGGUUCCCGGGCCAUGGCGCUGAGGGAACUUAAAGUGUGCCUGCUCGGGGUAAGUUGCAGCGGGCGGGGUCCGGAGGGUCGCGGAGGCCGGGCGGGCGGGCCCCGGCACUCCAGGGCCCCUUGCACCCCUUUACGCUCAGCGCGGGACGCAGCCCCCCACAGACCCCUUAGGGCGGCGGGACCAGCAGGCUGUGCCCCACCCAAGGCCCCCAGGUGUCAGGGUGGCCCCCGGCGCCCCGGAGCGACGCCCUCUUUCCAUCCCACAGUGAAGUAGCCCACAGGUAGUUUCCUUCCAACUUUGCGAGGGACACCUUUAAAGUUAGACAAGUUUCUGAAAGUUAACCCUCCCCAGCAGGGCUUUGGGUUUUAUGCGCACACUUGGCCUCCUUUCAGCAAUGUGGGAUGGUUUUGAACUUUUGGGACGUCUUUGACACUUCUGCAAGAGUUACUUUCCAUUAAAGUUCACUCUUCACUAGAACAGGGAGGAGUUACCAGGACUUUGAAGGUUCAGCUUCCGGUCCUCUCACAGUAGUUUGGCCUUUUCAGAGCCUUCUAAUGAUCUCCUUCCUGAGUUUCUGUUUUAAUGAC
rnacentral:lncRNA from 1 species